rnacentral:rRNA from 1 species
UACGUAGGGAGCAAGCGUUGUUCGGAUUUACUGGGCGUAAAGGGCGCGUAGGCGGCGCGGUAAGUCACUUGUGAAAUCUCCGAGCUUAACUCGGAACGGUCAGCUGAUACUGAUCUGCUAGAGUGCGGAAGGGGCAAUCGGAAUUCUUGGUGUAGCGGUGAAAUGCGUAGAUAUCAAGAGGAACACCUGAGGUGAAGACGGGUUGCUGGGCCGACACUGACGCUGAGUGCGCGAAAGCCAGGGGAGCAAACGGG